rnacentral:tRNA from 2 species
CGAGCGGUGCGAGGGGCCGGUUGCCGUCGUCGGUCAGUUCGGUGACCACCGGCAGCUCCCGGCCGGUCCGCUGUUCGAGGUGGCGCAGCACGA